UAAAUCUCUCCACAUCUCUUGUCCCUGUUCUAUACAAUGGGGACAAUAAUUCUUAUCUUGCAGGGUUACUAGGAGGAUAGAGUGGCCAUAUGCUUGUGAAGUGGUCAGUACUGCGCCUGGCACAGAGGACAAGCUUUCAAUUAUGAUAUUAAUGGACACAUACCUUGUACCAAGUGUUGGGCCCAGAACAAGGAGCACCAUGGAGAAGAAACUGGACACAGUCCUAUUUCUAAUGGAACUUGUGGAAUGGUUGGGGAAGAAGACAUCAGACGAAAACAAGCUCCAAAUAUGUGUUUACUCAAGCUUGUGAUUGUAAGUGCAAAGAAGAGAAGCCCAGCAAAGGUACUAUGAGAAGGAAUAGCCAGAGUG
rnacentral:lncRNA from 1 species